ACUAGUGAUUGGAGAGGGAGCCUGAGAAACGGCUACCACAUCCAAGGAAGGCAGCAGGCACGCAAAUUACCCACUCCCGGCACGGGGAGGUAGUGACGAAAAAUAACGAGGCGGUUCUCUACGAGGCCCGCCAUCGGAAUGGGUACAAUUUAAAUCCUUUAACGAGGAUCUAUUGGAGGGCAAGUCUGGUGCCAGCAGCCGCGGUAAUUCCAGCUCCAAUAGCGUAUAUUAAAGUUGUUGCGGUUAAAAAGCUCGUAGUUGGAUCUGCGGUCAAGGGAAGUGGUCCUCCGACGGAUGGUUACUGCUUUUCCUGACCUAACUACUUCGGUUUUCCCUUGAUGCUCUUAACCGGGUGUCUUGGGCGACCGAAACGUUUACUUUGAAAAAAUUAGAGUGCUCAAAGCAGGCGUUCAGCCUGAAUAGUGGUGCAUGGAAUAAUAAAAGAGGAUCUCGGUUCUAUUUUGUUGGUAUUGGAUUGAGAUAAUGAUCGACGGGGAUAGACGGGGGCAUUCGUAUUGCGACGUUAGAGGUGAAAUUCUUGGAUCGUCGCCAGACGAACAACUGCGAAGGCAUUUGCCAAGAAUAUGCUCUUCAAUCAAGAACGAAAGCGAGAGGCGCGAACGCGAUCAGAUACCGCGGUAGUUCUCGCCGUAAACGAUGCCAACUAGCGAUCCGCCGGAGUUAAAUGAUGACUCGGCGGGCAGCUUCCGGGAAACCAAAGUUUUUGGGUUCCGGGGGAAGUAUGGUUGCAAAGCUGAAACUUAAAGGAAUUGACGGAAGGGCACCACCAGGAGUGGAGCCUGCGGCUUAAUUUGACUCAACACGGGGAAACUCACCCGGCCCGGACACCGUAAGGAUUGACAGAUUGAGAGCUCUUUCUUGAUUCGGUGGGUGGUGGUGCAUGGCCGUUCUUAGUUGGUGGAGCGAUUUGUCUGGUUAAUUCCGAUAACGAACGAGACUCUAGCCUGCUAAAUAGACAGUGAAUCGUUAGUUCACUGUACUUCUUAGAGGGACAAGCGGCAUCUAGCUGCACGAGAUUGAGCAAUAACAGGUC
rnacentral:rRNA from 1 species